ensembl:lncRNA
CCACCCGUAUUCUAAAUGAUUGUGUGAUUCCAAAUCCUGAGCCAACUAUGUGUAUUUCAAAAACGGCCUUUAAUCCAACAGAACUGCUUUACUCUCCAGGGGGGAAUCCAACCGGUUCACCGGGAUUGAGGAGGGUCAACUGUCACAAAUACAGGACGCCGAAAAGACGAUCGCGCUCACAGAAAAAAAGGUGGCGGCCACAAUGCAACGCAUCCCUGAAAUGAUGGAGCUCGAGAAAACGGAAAACGACAGAAUUGUGCAACUGAAACUUCAAAUCGAGGUUGAAAUGCAAAAGAAUAAGAAAUCAAAAGACAAACUAACCGCACUGCGAGAAGACAUCGAGAAGGCCAGGCUUCACGGGGAAGCCGAGGUUUCCUGCAUAGAAGAGCAGCUCCUUUCAAAACGUAACGCUUUUGAGGCUCUUCGUCAAGAGAACAUGGAGUGUGAACAGAAUGCGGAGGACUACAGGAUGAAAAUGUCUGAGAGCGAGAAGGCGGUGCAGGAGAUGCGCGAGCAGAGGAAGCAGAUGCUGCUGAGCAUCAUCGACAAUGACGAGCGGUGGGAAGAGGCCGAGGAGGAAGUGGCCCAGGUCGUAGCCAGGCACGGCGUCACCCGGGCCACGCUGGACGAGCGGGAGAAGCUCACCUUCGCGGAGGAGCAGAGGACCAAGAAAGAGAUCGAAAAGCUGAGGCAGGAUCUGACGGGUCGGACGAGCGCCCUGGAGCUACUGAAGGGUCAGUGUGCGAAUAAAAGUGAGGAACUGUAUCGACAGCAAAAGAGCAGAGCGCUGACUAACCAGAAACUUCAGAAAGAGUUUGAAGAUGCAUCCUCAGUGACCAAAGAACUGGAGACCUCAUUUUUGAAAAUUAAGAAACUGGCAGAACAUUUUGAGGAGAGCCAGCGUGAACACAGGGACACAUUAGUCAAACUUGAGACGGACAAACAACUCCAACGUGACCACCUGAAAGCUGCUCAGGCUUCACUCGCCGCCGCCGCCGAGCGAUAUGACGCCACCGCGGGCCGGAUCAGUGACCUGACAAAGAAGACCCGGGACUGCCGCCAGGCUUCCGAUCAAAUGGAGGAAAUGUUCAAAAACAUGCCGGAGGUCAUAGCAGAACUUCAGAGCGUCUUUGACGCGGUGGAUUUCAAAAACAAGUCAGCUGCUCUCGUAAUGAGCACCUUGCAGUCUGAUAUUAAUAACUGCCAACAACGAACACAGCGAUCCGUGCAGGCACACACUGCUCACGUUGCAGCCAGAAGGAAGGAAAUGGAAGACACCAAGGAAGCCCUAAAAAUCGCACUGGCGGAGAACGAAGGUCUGGCGCUGGAGUACGAAGGUCUUCGGAAGAUCCUCACGCAGGCCAAACGGGAGGAGGCGUCCGCACUGCGAGAGAAAAACCGGGCGCACAAAUCUUUCCACUACUACUCCCAGCUCUCUUUGUUGCAGAAGAGGAUGCACAAAGCUCUGGUGAAAUACUUCAAACGACGCAGCCUCUACAGCCGGGCUGAACUGGACCGGUGCCUGGCUCUUUCUCAAGGGACCCACCGGAAAAUACAAACUGCCCAGGAAGGCUUGUCAGCAGAAAUUCAGCUCAUCUCUGCGUUCCUGCAGCCGCUGACGGAUGACUCGUCCGCCUGCGACCACGCCGGCGCCAACAAACGAGCAAACCGGCCCAGGACCGAAUGA